rnacentral:rRNA from 1 species
AUGUAUGCAAUGCUGUGUACCAGACCUGAUGUGUGCCUUGCUAUAAGUUUAGCAGGGAGGUACCAAAGUAAUCCAGGAGUGGAUCACUGGACAGCGGUCAAGAACAUCCUGAAAUACCUGAAAAGGACUAAGGAUAUGUUUCUCGUUUAUGGAGGUGACAAAGAGCUAGUCGUAAAUGGUUACGUCGAUGCAAACUUUGACACUGAUCCGGACGAUUCUAAAUCGCAAACCGGAUACGUGUUUACAUUGAACGGUGGAGCUGUCAGUUGGUGCAGUUCUAAACAAAGCAUUGUGGCGGGAUCUACAUGUGAAGCGGAGUACAUAGCUGCUUCGGAAGCAGCAAAUGAAGGAGUUCAUAUCCGAUCUAGGUGUCAUACCUAG